GUAAAGGGCGUGUAGGCGGAGAUGCAAGUUGGGAGUGAAAUCCAUGGGCUCAACCCAUGAACUGCUUUCAAAACUGCAUCCCUUGAGUAUCGGAGAGGCAAGCGGAAUUCCUAGUGUAGCGGUGAAAUGCGUAGAUAUUAGGAGGAACACCAGUGGCGAAGGCGGCUUGCUGGACGACAACUGACGCUGAGGCGCGAAAGCGUGGGGAGCAAACAGGAUUAGAUACCCUGGUAGUCCACGCUGUAAACGAUGAAUACUAGGUGUGGGAGGACUGACCCCUUCCGUGCCGCAGUUAACACAAUAAGUAUUCCACCUGGGGAGUACGACCGCAAGGUUGAAACUCAAAGGAAUUGACGGGGGCCCGCACAAGCAGUGGAUUAUGUGGUUUAAUUCGACGCAACGCGAAGAACCUUACCAGGAUUUGACAUCCAACUAACGAAGUAGAGAUACAUUAGGUGCCCUUCGGGGAAAGUUGAGACAGGUGGUGCAUGGUUGUCGUCAGCUCGUGUCGUGAGAUGUUGGGUUAAGUCCCGCAACGAGCGCAACCCCUAUUGUUAGUUGCUACGCAAGAGCACUCUAGCGAGACUGCCGUUGACAAAACGGAGGAAGGCGGGGACGACGUCAAAUCAUCAUGCCCCUUAUGUCCUGGGCUACACACGUAAUACAAUGGCCGUCAACAAAGGGAAGCGAAGCCGCGAGGUGGAGCAAACCCCCAAAAACGGUCUCAGUUCGGAUUGCAGGCUGCAACUCGCCUGCAUGAAGCUGGAAUUGCUAGU
rnacentral:rRNA from 1 species